CAGUCGCCGCGGUAAUACGUAGGGGGCGAGCGUUGUCCGAAGUUACUGGGCGUAAAGAGCGCGUAGACGGGUUCUUAAGUGAGGGGUGAAAGGUUCAGGGCUCAACCCGGACACUGCCUUUCAUACUGGGAACCUUGAGUGUGGGAGAGGCGAGUGGAAUGGUCGGUGUAGCGGUGAAAUGCGUAGAUAUCGAUCGGAACACCCAUGGCGAAGGCAGCUCGCUGGCCUACAACUGACGCUGAGGCGCGUAAGCGUGGGGAGCAAACAGGAUUAGAUACCCCCGUAGUCCCUGUCUCUUAUU
rnacentral:rRNA from 1 species